GCUCAAAUUUGAGUGUAACAAUGGCACCAUGGUGGUCAGUGUUCUUAUACUCAGUCUUUGUUAAUGUGUUCACCAUCUGCAUUCAGCAGCAGUUGAAAUACCUGUUUGCUUUCAAGCCACUUCUUUUACAUGUAUUAUCUUACCUCUUCCUAGAAUCUGCAUUGCAACAUACAGCAACACAAUGUAUCCAUGGUCUUUCUGGAACCAACUUAACUGUUCAUUGUAAAGAUGCUGUACUAUUUCUAAUGGCAAUCCAAGAGUUGUUAUUUCAAUCUAAAAUUUUCUCCACAGAUUGGACAAAAAUAUCUUUUCUCCUGUUUUGACAAGUCCUACUGUAUUGAGACUUAUUUCUGUAAGAACAUAGGAAUGUAAGAACAUAAGGAGCACCAUGCUGAGUCAGAACAAUGGUCCAUCUAGCCCAGUAUCCAGUUUCUGGCAACGGCAGGAGUGGACACUUUAGAGGGAGAACAUAUGAACAGAGCAGAGAUGUUUAACUGGUGGCCCAUGGGUUGCAAGCAGUUUGUAAGUGGUUACGAUAUGGCCUGUGAGCUCCUGCCUGGCUUGCACUCUGCCCACUGCUCUUGUUGCUGUGGUGUCUGCAGUCCCUGGGCUUCCCCUCCCUCCUACGGCUUCUGAUUUCUGUCUGUGCUCCUGGGAGCAGGGUGAUACAACAGAAGAGGGCCAGGCUGCUCAGGCUGUGCAGAAGGCAGAGGAGGAACCUGGGCUCUGGGUGCUGCAUGAUGCACAAAGGAGAGAGCCAAGCUGCUCAUGUAUUUGUGUAUCGUGCAUGUCUGGGAGGUGGGUCAAGGGUGCUAAAUGUAUGGUGGGGGGAAUCCAGACUGCCUGUGUUGCAGGGCGGGUGGCAGGGAGGAGAGGCUGGGCUGUGCACAUGGCAAGGGGGAGCUGUAUUGUAUGCACAGCAGGGGAGGGAGACCAGACGGGCAGCCUCCACUAUGUGCACCCCCUAGGUCUGUGGCCAACCCUCUAGUGCUGGGAAAUUGGACAUCCCUGAUCUAAAGGGGUCUGUCCAAACCCUCUUUUAUCAGUUAGGAAUCUAAAUAGCAACUUGGCAGCAUUUAAGCCAAUAUGUAUAUGAUUUAGGAACAAGUUAAGUCUCUGAAUUCAUGGACUGAUCCUUCAGUGCAACCUUGCUCCGAUUCCUCCCAACAAAGGCAGGAAGGAUGCCAUACUUACCUUCUGGUACUAGUUCGUGAGUUUGCCAGAGUUGGGAGAAAGAUGCAAGUGGCCCAUGCAAGUAACAGUAAAGUAAAGGGGUCUUCAACCCCUGAGGCCACAGCCCAGAACUGGCCCAUGGAACUAUGUUAUCUAGGCCAUAGAGCUUCCCAUAGGUCCAAAAAAUUGGAGGUAGUGCAGAGCCAGGCUGAGGUGCCACAGGGCCCAAUCUGGCUGCCUGGGUAGUGAUCCAGUGACGCAAGGCUGCAUAGGGCCCGAUCCAGUCAAAUGGAGCCCAAUGCAGGUGCUGACCUUGCACAGGAUGCAGCCUGCAGACUGGCCCAGCACCACUAAUCCAGUCCAUGGGGAUAAAAGUUUGAGCACCACUGGCACAGUAUAAGCAAGAGAGCUGGGAAAGGGAUUGGGUCUCUUCAGUCAGAAUCACUCUUAUUGUUUCCAUUAUACAUUUCAUUUACCACCACUAUUAGUAGCACUUUCUAGCUCUACCCUUGAUUUUAGCUGGCACCACCAUCACCGUUGUUAAGCUCUGCCACAGAUCUUAAAGCACUUAACCUUAAAGAAGGUUAAUAGUUAUAAAUUGGGAGGCUGAGGCACCAGAAAGGCAACUUACAUCAUCGACUAAGAAAGACUAGAGCCAAAAAUUGAGCCCAGGCCUCCUGAAUCCCAAUGUUCAAUUCAUUAGGACACACUGCCUUCUAAAUAUAAAAUACUUAGCUCAUAGCAACAUACAUCUUCAUUGGGCAGGUAAAGGUUGCUAAAAAUAGCUAAAGACUUAAGCACAUAGGCUUGAUAAAAUGAUUUUAACUAGAAACGAAAAAAGCAAAGGGGAGAAUUACUGGUAAAGUACAGACUGCCUAAACUCUUCUUCUCUUACGUUUUACUCAUUUCAAAAACUUUCCAACUUGCUGAAGAGGAAAUGGGAUAAAAGUCAUAGUAGGAGAUACAAGCCAGGAGAUAAAUCACUUCAAUUGUUUAUAUUUUAAACUACACUGAGAGAAUGGGCAGGCCUGAAAGAGGAAACAUUUUUUGCUGGAAAGUGGUAACAGCUGCCAUCACCUCUGAUCUGUGGAAAGAAGAGGCUGAAGACUCUGGGCCUGCAGAUUAGAUGUCAGGGCUGACGUACUAUCAGAGCCAAUGGAAUUUGAGGCCAGACAAGUGUAACGUCCGGUAUCGUCCUCAAAGGCUUCUGCUAUGAUGAGUGAAUG